rnacentral:rRNA from 1 species
UACGAAGGGGGCUAGCGUUGUUCGGAUUUACUGGGCGUAAAGCGCGUGUAGGCGGGUCGUUAAGUUGGGGGUGAAAUCCCGGAGCUCAACUCCGGAACUGCCUCCAAAACUGGCGACCUGGAGCAAGAUAGAGGCGAGUGGAAUUCCGAGUGUAGAGGUGAAAUUCGUAGAUAUUCGGAAGAACACCAGUGGCGAAGGCGGCUCACUGGACUGGUAUUGACGCUGAGGUGCGAAAGCGUGGGGAGCAAACAGG